rnacentral:rRNA from 1 species
GCACAAUGGGGGAAACCCUGAUGCAGCCAUGCCGCGUGUGUGAAGAAGGCCUUCGGGUUGUAAAGCACUUUCAGCGAGGAGGAAAGGGUGUAAGUUAAUACCUUACAUCUGUGACGUUACUCGCAGAAGAAGCACCGGCUAACUCCGUGCCAGCAGCCGCGGUAAUACGGAGGGUGCGAGCGUUAAUCGGAAUUACUGGGCGUAAAGCGUGCGCAGGCGGUUUGUUAAGCGAGAUGUGAAAGCCCCGGGCUCAACCUGGGAACCGCAUUUCGAACUGGCAAACUAGAGUCUUGUAGAGGGGGGUAGAAUUCCAGGUGUAGCGGUGAAAUGCGUAGAGAUCUGGAGGAAUACCGGUGGCGAAGGCGGCCCCCUGGACAAAGACUGACGCUCAGGCACGAAAGCGUGGGGAGCAAACAGGAUUAGAUACCCUGGUAGUCCACGCCGUAAACGAUGUCUACUCGGAGUUUGGUGUCUUGAACACUGGGCUCUCAAGCUAACGCAUUAAGUAGACCGCCUGGGGAGUACGGCCGCAAGGUUAAAACUCAAAUGAAUUGACGG